rnacentral:snRNA from 1 species
GUGCUCGCUUCAGCAGCACAGAUACUAAAAUUGGAACGAUACAGAGAAGAUUAGCAUGGCCCCCACGCAAGUACGACACACAAAUUCAUGAAGCGUUCCAUAUUUUU